AUGGCUGAAGCGGUCUCGUCCUCGCCCGGAUCCCCCGCGGCGGCGGCGGCGGCCGCGUACCCGUACCCGGUGGCGCGCCGCCUCCAUGGCGCCUUCGUCGCCAGGGACGAACUCCCGUACUCAUACCCCGCUGCCGCUGCUGCACCGCCGCCGCCCGCGCCGCUGCCGCAGGCGCAACAGGGUUCCUCCGGCGGGGGAGGCGGCAAGAUUAGCCCCGCGGUGCUCUUCAUCAUCGUCAUCCUCGCGGUGGUGUUCUUCAUCUCCGGCCUGCUCCACCUCCUCGUGCGGCUGCUCAUGAAGAAGCAGCACCGCCGCCGAGGCGGGUCGGCUGCCGCCGCGGCGCAGGGGCCCGGGGAGGCCGACGCGGCGCUGCAGCGCCAGCUGCAGCAGCUGUUCCACCUUCACGACUCUGGCCUGGACCAGGCCUUCAUCGACGCGCUGCCCGUCUUCUCCUACCGGGAGAUCGUCGUGGGCGGCGGCGGCGGCGACAAGGAGCCCUUCGACUGCGCCGUGUGCCUGUGCGAAUUCGAUGCCGAGGACAGGCUCCGGCUUCUGCCGCUCUGCGGGCACGCCUUCCACCUGAAUUGCAUCGACACAUGGCUGCUGUCCAACUCGACGUGCCCGCUCUGCCGCGGGGUGCUCUUCGCCCCAGGGCUGACAGCCGAGAACAACCCGAUGUUCGAUUUCGAUGAGGGGUUGGAGGAAGGGCGGCUGUCGGAGUGCUGCGAGGAUGGUUUCGGAUUGCCCGCGCAGAAGUCCUCGGAGGGGUUGCAGACGCCGGUCGCCGAGAAAAGAGUGUUCCCGGUGAGGCUCGGCAAGUUCAAGAACGUGGGCACCCAGGGUGCUGUUGAAGGCGGACACGGCGAUUCUGCUGUGCUGAGGAGGGAGGAAGGAGAGAGCAGCAGCAGCAGUUUGGAUGCAAGGAAAUGCUUCUCUAUGGGCACCUACCAGUAUGUUCUUGGGACUUCUGAGCUUCAGGUGGCUCUCCAGCCGGGCCGAACAAGAAAUGGUGCGAUGAGAUCAAGACCUCCGGGUAUAAGUUGUGUGAAUGCCGACAUUAUGGAAGGAAAGAAAAUUUGCGCAUGGAACAAAGGGGAGAGCUUCUCCAUGUCGAAGAUUUGGCAGUGGUCUAAUCUGAAGGGCAAGUUACCGGCCAGCUCAGAUGAUUGUUCAGAAGCGGGGAGCCUUCCAUGGAUGAAGAGAGGUGGCACCGGGGAUAAAUUGAACUUGUGA
rnacentral:rRNA from 1 species